rnacentral:rRNA from 1 species
GGGUUGUGAGGUUAAGCGACUAAGCGUACACGGUGGAUGCCCUGGCAGUCAGAGGCGAUGAAGGACGUGCUAAUCUGCGAUAAGCGCCGGUAAGGUGAUAUGAACCGUUAUAACCGGCGAUUUCCGAAUGGGGAAACCCAGUGUGAUUCGUCACACUAUCAUUACGUGAAUACAUAGCGUAAUGAAGCGAACCGGGGGAACUGAAACAUCUAAGUACCCCGAGGAAAAGAAAUCAACCGAGAUUCCCCCAGUAGCGGCGAGCGAACGGGGAGGAGCCCAGAGCCUGAAUCAGCAUGUGUGUUAGUGGAAGCGUCUGGAAAGGCGCGCGAUACAGGGUGACAGCCCCGUACACAAAAGCGCAUGUGUUGUGAGCUCGAUGAGUAGGGCGGGACACGUGGUAUCCUGUCUGAAUAUGGGGGGACCAUCCUCCAAGGCUAAAUACUCCUGACUGACCGAUAGUGAACCAGUACCGUGAGGGAAAGGCGAAAAGAACCCCGGCGAGGGGAGUGAAAAAGAACCUGAAACCGUGUACGUACAAGCAGUGGGAGCACAGGUUUACCUG